rnacentral:antisense_RNA from 1 species
AUGUUGGCAGGUCCCUCUUUUUAUUUUCACUGAGAGCUUUAUUUUACUAAGUGCCACUAUCCUUACCUUUCAAUGUGUCUGCAUGCCUAAUUUUUCCUGGUUGUUAGACAAGAACCCGGAUUUUAGUUGAACUCUGGAGCAAAAAUCCUGCAUCAUUUGUAGGUCAACAACAAGAGGGCAGGGCCUCCCAAGAAAAGCUUUACUAAUGUAAUAGCUUUGGCCAAGUCCACCCAAUAUAUCUUCCUCUCUGCAAAGAGAAACAAGCUAUUGUCUCAUCCUAGAUUUCCUCUUCUUCCAUGCCACUGUUAUUCAUGUUCAAAUCCUGGCUGUCCUUCAGGGUCCAAUUCAAAUGAUUAUCACCAUUUUCAAUUAAUGUCAUUUCUUCCUAUUUUCUACCUUUUGUUAGCUAUGUUAAAGUGUUUCUUUACCAACAUCCCCCAUACAUUGUGUAACACAGUGUCUAUGGCUUACUCAUUUUUGAAUCCUUAUCAUGACCUGACAUAAUGAAGAUUCUUAUUACAUAGUGAUACAUGUAAAUAUGAGUUAAUUAGUACAUGAUAGACUUGAUUUCCAGAAUGAUUUUGUAUAGUUGAAUUGUCUCGUAAGGGGACACACGUGAAAUGAAGACUUUAGUCACUAUCAAGAAGAUAUUUUGGGUGACUUUACAUACCUGCCAAUGAUAAAUCUAGAAACAAUAGAUGCUUGGGUAGGUGAUUUCCUUUUGCCUUCUUUAUCGUUGUUUUCCCAGUAUUUCUUACAUUCAUCUAAUUUCAUUAGAUGCCCAUAUACUUUAUACUGGCUCUUCCUGUGAGGUUUGAACUGGUCCAGUCCAUUUGUUUUCAGAAUUGAUUCAUCUGGAGGGUCAUCUCCUAUCCUCCCAAACAAUGAUAUACCAGUCUGAGGACUGUGUAGAAGGGACUUCUCUUUCUACUCAGUAUGACCAAAAUAAUUCAAUCCUAGCUGUGGUGUGUGAUUUAUGAAUAUUUUCUCCUUUAGUUUGUGUGAACCAAUUUUGUGCCAUAAGAAUUUUAGCCUCCUUUUCCACAAAAGAGUGAUUUAAUCAAACAAAAGUUGACAAUCAAAGUAGUACAUUUGUGUGACAGUGAUUAAACAUGGUGUUUUUCUCUUAGGUGUCUGAGCAGAUUUGGAAAUGCCCAUUCUGCUCUCAGAGCUCCUCUGCUUUAAGGGGGAUGGACUUCCUGUACCUCUACAUAGUGCAUGAGUGCCAGCCACUGGUAUCUAGAACUGUGAUUAGUGAGGGAACACUAGGCGGAACAAACAACCCAACUCUUUUUAUCUAAUCUGUUGACUCCAAAGGGACCUUCUGCUUAUUCCAGUUAAAACUCAAGCUGCAAUUCAAAAUGAAAUCAGUAUCUUUUUUCUCUACUUGUCAGCAAAGCAAGAUUCUACCUUAUAAUUACCAUGUAACAAUUAAUCGCAAACAUAGUGGCUUAAAGCAGCUCCUCUUUUAGCCUACAUAUCUGCAAACUGGCAGUUUGGACUGAGCUCAGCUGGAUGUGUUUUCUGAGCUGAUCAUGUGUGUAGGGUCUGCUGCUGGCUGGUUUAGACUGAUGGUGGAUGAGAAACCACAUGAAGAAGAGAGGCAUGAUGGUGGCAGAGUUCUGAAAGAGUCACACAGAAGGCCCUUGAGUUCGUGGCUUGAAAAUAGCAUCCUGUCACUUCUACCACAUUCUAUUUACCAGGCCAGCCCAGAUAAAGAUGUGAAGAAACAGACUCCAUCUCUUGAUGAGAGAAGUUGAAAAUCAAUGGACAAUGGCAUGGAUAAGGAAAGGAGUGAUGAUUGUGGCCAUAUUUGUAAUGGCCAUAUUUGAUACCCUUUUCAGUUUUCCUAGCCACACUUCUCAUUAGCCAGGAAAAUUAAAUGAAUGUCAACACUGAAGAAAACAGAUUUUGGUUAAAAGCAAUGAUGUAGCUAAUAUCCCAUUCAGGUAAAAGAUUACUUAUACAGUAUGAGACAGGCAUGAGGCAGAGAAGUGCUUACAGGUUGGUUUCUGCUUUGUUAGCAGAUUUACUUUUAGGUCAUAUACUACUUUGUUGUUACUGUUUUAUUGAGAAAAAAAUAACAGAUAUUUCCAAAAUUUUGCAGCAUGCAACUCAGUGCUUCAGUUGGCAUUCAAUCAAAAUUUCCUAGAAACAAAAAAAAGACAAGAGAGAGACAUGGAAUUAUGACUAUUCUACUAGAUUAGCUCCUACAUGUCAAAAUCUGUCAAGUUUAUGAUUUAUUCAGAUAGCACUUGUUUUUGGUGUAAUAACUAAACUGUUGCUUUAGAGUCUACUACAUUCUCCUCUAUUAUUUGGAAUUUUUCUCUUUAUUAUUUUGUUCAAGUAGGAUAUUGUGCUGAGUUGAACCAUGAAAUGAAUUUUAUUGAACAACAUCAACAACCUAAAUGUUCUGGGGUGUCA